UACGAAGGGUGCAAGCGUUACUCGGAAUUACUGGGCGUAAAGCGCGCGUAGGCGGCUUUGUAAGUUAGAGGUGAAAGCCCGGGGCUCAACCCCGGAAUUGCCUUUAAGACUGCAUCGCUUGAAUCCGGGAGAGGUGAGUGGAAUUCCGAGUGUAGAGGUGAAAUUCGUAGAUAUUCCGGAAGAACACCAGCGGCGAAGGCGGCUCACUGGACCCGGCAUUGACGCUGAGGUGCGAAAGCGUGGGG
rnacentral:rRNA from 1 species